CAGCCGCCGCGGUAAUACGGAGGGGGCUAGCGUUGUUCGGAUUUACUGGGCGUAAAGGGCGCGUAGGCGGGCGAAUAAGGCAGGGGUGAAAUCCCAAGGCUCAACCUUGGAACUGCCUUUGAUACUGUUUGUCUUGAGUUCGAGAGAGGUAAGUGGAACUGCGAGUGUAGAGGUGAAAUUCGUAGAUAUUCGCAAGAACACCAGUGGCGAAGGCGGCUUACUGGCUCGAAACUGACGCUGAGGCGCGAAAGCGUGGGGAGCAAACAGGAUUAGAUACCCCCGUAGUCCCUGUCUCUUAUAC
rnacentral:rRNA from 1 species